rnacentral:misc_RNA from 1 species
UAAUAAGUGUUUUAUGGCACUUUUUAAAUCCAUAUCCACCUUGUGUGCAAUGUCAGUCGAUCUUCUUCAUGGAGAUCGACCAAACAUCAACCUUUAUUUUUAACUCUUUGUCUGAAAAAUAUUAUGAAUAAACAAUUCAAAAUG